UCUUCCAGUCCAGCAGAUCCCGCAUCUCCCUUAAAAAAAAGCAGAUCCCGCAUAGGUGAGGAGAUGAGCAGCCACCCUAGCUCGUCGGCGGCGGCGGCGGCGCCGCUGGACGACGAAGACCUCCUCUCCGAGAUCCUCCUCCGCCUCCCCCCGCUGCCGUCCUCCCUCCCCCGCGCUUCCCUCGCCUGUAAGCUCUGGGGGCGCAUCGUAUCCGACGCCCGAUUUCUCCGCCGCUUCCGCGAGCACCACCGCCGCAACCCUCCCCUGCUCGGUUGCUUCGUCCAAGGUACCUCCUACGCUGGGUUGCUCGGUUGCUUCUCCUUUCCCAUCGACAGCGGCGACACAUUCAUGAUCCUCGGAUGCCGCCAUGGCCUCAUGCUCAUCUUCCUUUGGACUGGGAACCUGCUCCUGGUAUGGGAUCCCGUCACGGGUGACCAGCACCGCCUAGACAUCCCCCCAGGGUUCGACAAGGAGGAAACCAUGAUUAACGGAGCGGUGCUUCGUGCUGCCGGAGAGGCCCACCAUUUCCAGGUUGUCUUGGUAGGCAACUUACACAGGCUGUGGCCUCAGGUGUACUCGUCGGAGACCGGUGUAUGGAGUAAUCUCGUGUCAACACUGCUUCCGGCGGAUGAUCCUGAUGUACCCACCAGGGUUUACCAUGACAUGUGCUUGUGAUGGUUGGGAAUUCCCUUUACUGGUUGCUUUUUGGGAAUUGAGUUGGAAUACUUGAAUUUAAUUUGGAUAGGCAGAGCCUAAGUGUGAUAAAUGUGCCAGUGGACAUCUUCUAUGUCGACAGUUGCUUGUUCACGGUUAUGCGGGCGGAUGGUGGUGGCCUUGGUUUCCUCUUCAUUUCGGGGAACUGCUUCCAGUUAUGGAAGAGGAAGACGGACUGUGAUGGUGUAGCUUCAUGGGUGCUGGGAAGAACUGUUGCACUAGACAAGCUACUUUCCAUGAAUUCAGAGGAGGGCAGUCAGAGCCCAAGGAUACUCGGUUUUGCUGAGGACAAUAAUGUGGUGUUAUUGUGGGCAUUUAUCGGCGACAUCUUUAUGCUUCAGGUUAAAUCAUUGCAGUUAAAGAAACUUUUUGAAUCCUACCGCAGUUUCUCCUGGCGUCACUAUUAUCCAUUCGAAGGUGUCUAUACUGCAGGUAUCAACAGUUAGGAUUUCGUUAUCUGAGAUGCAGAAAUGGAUUAUGCGCUGCAGGUAUCUAGAAUUACAUUCCGGUGGUUGAGAUGCAGAAGUGGCUUUCCUCCCCCUGUAGAUUCGUCCAUUUUGUAUGUUGUGCAUGUAGACACUAGUCAACUGGCAUGAAGACACAAUCACUUGUGUGCCGAAAAGGUAUCAUCACUGCAGUGAUGCUACUAUGGGUUGAAUUUGUAGCAUGAUCAGGCAGGUGGCUGAAUCAUAUUACUCUUUGUGGAGGAUAGACAUCACAUGUUUGCUGCAGGAAUGCCCAGUGUGCGAGUUCUGCUGAAUUAGUUGUUUGUUGCUCAGGUUUCAUUUUCCUAGUCCUUGAUAUGAAGCUGCUGAUGUGUUGAUGCAGAAACAAUACUGAAUGCACGCAGUGAUGGUUAUGGCACAUUUAAUCGUCUGUUACAAACCAUUUUAUCUAAGCUUUAUGAGCCGCCUAAUUUCUUCA